rnacentral:rRNA from 1 species
CACUCCUACGGGAGGCAGCAGUGGGGAAUAUUGGACAAUGGGCGCAAGCCUGAUCCAGCCAUGCCGCGUGAGUGAUGAAGGCCCUAGGGUUGUAAAGCUCUUUCACCGGAGAAGAUAAUGACGGUAUCCGGAGAAGAAGCCCCGGCUAACUUCGUGCCAGCAGCCGCGGUAAUACGAAGGGGGCUAGCGUUGUUCGGAAUUACUGGGCGUAAAGCGCACGUAGGCGGAUCGAUCAGUCAGGGGUGAAAUCCCAGGGCUCAACCCUGGAACUGCCUUUGAUACUGUCGAUCUGGAGUAUGGAAGAGGUGAGUGGAAUUCCGAGUGUAGAGGUGAAAUUCGUAGAUAUUCGGAGGAACACCAGUGGCGAAGGCGGCUCACUGGUCCAUUACUGACGCUGAGGUGCGAAAGCGUGGGGAGCAAACAGGAUUAGAAACCCCUGUAGUCCCAUG